rnacentral:lncRNA from 1 species
GAGUUGAUAAUUGUAAUCUGGUCAUCAUUUAUUUUUUCCUUUUUUUUCUCCCUAGUAAUACCAAAAGAAAUUAAGAAGCAAUGUUAUUUUUUUUUUUUUUCUGGGAAGUAAUCAUAGUUUAAUGAGAGCCCGGAAAACAGUAAAUGGCCUGAAAGACUUUCGUUGUUACCAUAAUUUUAGUAUAGCUUAUUAAAUAACAAUACCAGUGGUAUAGCUUGGGAGUGUGAAACUUGAUUACAACUUAACGAUUGUGAAGUUUAGGUUAUUAAGGUGAUUUUUGGAUGUGACUUUAUGUGAAACACCCUUUUCUUCGGAGAGUAGGGGAAGAAAAACAAGGUAGAUAGAUAAUGCCGGUGCUGCACGGGGAUAUUUAGCAGUGCUUCUCGACAGUUAGGAGAGUAACGUUUUAUUUUGUGGGGAGAUGAUUUCAUGACU